GACGAACGCUGGCGGCGUGCCUAAUACAUGCAAGUAGAACGCUGAAGGAGGAGCUUGCUUCUCUGGAUGAGUUGCGAACGGGUGAGUAACGCGUAGGUAACCUGCCUGGUAGCGGGGGAUAACUAUUGGAAACGAUAGCUAAUACCGCAUAAGAGUAGAUGUUGCAUGACAUUUGCUUAAAAGGUGCAAUUGCAUCACUACCAGAUGGACCUGCGUUGUAUUAGCUAGUUGGUGGGGUAACGGCUCACCAAGGCGACGAUACAUAGCCGACCUGAGAGGGGGAUCGGCCACACUGGGACUGAGACACGGCCCAGACUCCUACGGGAGGCAGCAGUAGGGAAUCGUCGGCAAUGGACGGAAGACUGACCGAGAAACGCCGAGGGAGGGAAGAAGGUUGUCGGAUCGGAAAGCUCUGUUGUAAGAGAAGAAAGAGUGUGAGAGUGGAAAGUUCACACUGUGACGGUAUCUGACCAGAAAGGGACGGCUAACUACGUG
rnacentral:rRNA from 1 species